rnacentral:rRNA from 1 species
GAUGAACGCUGGCGGCGUGCCUAAUACAUGCAAGUCGAGCGAACGGACGAGAAGCUUGCUUCUCUGAUGUUAGCGGCGGACGGGUGAGUAACACGUGGAUAACCUACCUAUAAGACUGGGAUAACUUCGGGAAACCGGAGCUAAUACCGGAUGAUAUUUUGAACCGCAUGGUUCAAAAGUGAAAGACGGUCUUGCUGUCACUUAUAGAUGGAUCCGCGCUGCAUUAGCUAGUUGGUAAGGUAACGGCUUACCAAGGCAACGAUGCAUAGCCGACCUGAGAGGGUGAUCGGCCACACUGGAACUGAGGCAAGGUCCAGACUCCUACGGGAGGCAGCAGUAGGGAAUCUUCCGCAAUGGGCGAAAGCCUGACGGAGCAACGCCGCGUGAGUGAUGAAGGUCUUCGGAUCGUAAAACUCUGUUAUUAGGGAAGAACAUAUGUGUAAGUAACUGUGCACAUCUUGACGGUACCUAAUCAGAAAGCCACGGCUAACUACGUG